GUACUUACUUCAGCAGCAUAUAUACUAAAAUUGGAAAAAUACAUAGAAGAUUAGCAUGGCCCCUGCACAAGGAUGACACUCAAAUUCAUGAAGCAUUUCAUAUUUGA